CCUACAAUAAAUUGAUCUAACAGCCCUUUCCUUUUUCAUGUCCUUGUGUGACAAGGCAUUUAGAACAAUUUGCAGAUUCGUUGGAAUCUGAUAGGGCCAUGUUGUGAGUGCUUCUGUUAU